UUACGGACAGUGCCUGGUGGGUAGUUUGACUGGGGCGGUCUCCUCCCAAAGAGUAACGGAGGAGCACGAAGGUGGGCUAAUCACGGUCGGACAUCGUGAGGUUAGUGCAAUGGCAUAAGCCCGCUUGACUGCGAGAAUGACAAUUCGAGCAGGUGCGAAAGCAGGUCAUAGUGAUCCGGUGGUUCUGAAUGGAAGGGCCAUCGCUCAACGGAUAAAAGGUACUCCGGGGAUAACAGGCUGAUACCGCCCAAGAGUUCAUAUCGACGGCGGUGUUUGGCACCUCGAUGUCGGCUCAUCACAUCCUGGGGCUGAAGUCGGUCCCAAGGGUAUGGCUGUUCGCCAUUUAAAGUGGUACGCGAGCUGGGUUUAGAACGUCGUGAGACAGUUCGGUCCCUAUCUGCCGUGGGCGUUGGAUGAUUGAGAGGGGCUGCUCCUAGUACGAGAGGACCGGAGUGGACGAACCGCUGGUGUUCGGGUUGUAUCGCCAGAUGCAUUGCCCGGUAGCUAAGUUCGGAAUCGAUAACCGCUGAAAGCAUCUAAGCGGGAAGCGAGCCUCAAGAUGAGUCAUCCCUAGACCUUUAAGGUCUCUAAAGGGUUGUUGAAGACUACAACGUUGAUAGGUCAGGUGUGUAAGUGCUGCGAGGCAUUGAGCUAACUGAUACUAAUUGCCCGUGAGGCUUAACCAUACAACACCCAAGGGGUUU
rnacentral:rRNA from 1 species